CUCUCACCAGUGCCUGCAGAUGCCUCAGGGAAGCAGAGCUCAGACCCUAACCUGCCCUCUGCCACCUAUCCAGUCAGUCUCCGUCCAGCAGGUGCAGCUGGGAGGUCACCCUGGGCUUCUCCCCACCAGCAGGGAAGCAGAACCAUGCUGGGUCCCCUCGCCCUCCUGUGUGCCCUCCUGUUUCCAGGUGGCGAGGCAGCGAUCAGUCUGACUCAGCAGGCUGUGGCCGUGGGGCGUGUGGGCAGCUCGGCCACCCUGUCCUGCCAAGACAGCGCCUCCGUCAGCUACAUUCACUGGUACCUCCACCAGGAGGGGACUACGCCCAAGAGGAUCCUCAUGCUGGACAUGUCAAGGUUACAUGUGCAGAGGUAUGGGGGCUUGGAAGUGGACAAAAUCGAUGCCAAGAAAGGCAAGGAAAGCAACAGCUGUGAACUGUCAGUGAAGAAGCUGCAGAAGAGCGACGAGGGCGUGUACUACUGUGCUGCCUGGGAAGCUCACAGCCCCGCGCGCUGCUCUGCUCCCUGAGCAAAAAGUCUCGCUCUCCCAGGGCGCUCCAAGCCCGGACCUACCAGGGUUGCUGGGUCCCUGGGGCUUCCUGGGGUCAACGAACUGUGCUGGACUGGUGAUUUAAGAAUCUGACCAUCUCCAAUGAAGAAUGCGGGAAUAAAAUAUCGUGCAAAUAAUUUCAAGGCCGAGAGACUCUCUG